UAUUUACCGCGGCUGCUGGCACGUAGUUAGCCGUGGCUUUCUGGUUAGGUACCGUCAAGGUACCGCCCUAUUCGAACGGUACUUGUUCUUCCCUAACAACAGAGCUUUACGAUCCGAAAACCUUCAUCACUCACGAUAGCGCUGCUCCGUCGGACCAAACGAAACCACCCUAGGAUGAUCCUGGCUCAGGACGAACGCUGGCGGCGUGCCUAAUACAUGCAAGUCGAGCGGACAGAUGGGAGCUUGCUCCCUGAUGUUAGCGGCGGACGGGUGAGUAACACGUGGGUAACCUGCCUGUAAGACUGGGAUAACUCCGGGAAACCGGGGCUAAUACCGGAUGCUUGUUUGAACCGCAAGGUUCAAACAUAAAAGGUGGCUUCGGCUACCACUUACAGAUGGACCCGCGGCGCAUUAGCUAGUUGGUGAGGUAAUGGCUCACCAAGGCAACGAUGCGUAGCCGACCUGAGAGGGUGAUCGGCCACACUGGGACUGAGACACGGCCCAGACUCCUACGGGAGGCAGCAGUAGGGAAUCUUCCGCAAUGGACGAAAGUCUGACGGAGCAACGCCGCGUGAGUGAUGAAGGUUUUCGGAUCGUAAAGCUCUGUUGUUAGGGAAGAACAAGUACCGUUCGAAUAGGGCGGUACCAGACGGUACCAACCAGAAAGCC
rnacentral:rRNA from 1 species